rnacentral:rRNA from 1 species
GACGUAGGGGGCGAGCGUUGUCCGGAAUCACUGGGCGUAAAGAGCUCGUAGGCUGGGUUGCGCGUCGUGGAGUAAAUUUCUCUGCUCAACGGAGACAUCAUCUGCGAUACGGCAACUCUUGAGGACAGGAGAGGAAAGCGGAAUUCCGAGUGUAGCGGUGAAAUGCGUAGAUAUUCGGAGGAACACCAGUGGCGAAGGCGGCUUUCUGGCCUGAUUCUGACGCUGAGGAGCGAAAGCCAGGGUAGCGAACGGG